AUCUUUCAACCAUGCAGAGUUUUUAUGACCUUGUGUGGCUUGGACUUGGGACUUUUUGCUGGUUUUGAUCUGUCAGCCCAGCUGUCCUGAAAUACAUUAGCGGAGCUUGUGUUUGCUAGUCUCUGGUGUGAUACACUAUUUACGCCAAUGAAAAGCUUCCAGUGUCGCAAAGCUUGGCUGCCAAUCGUCCACUUCCUAGGACAACUUUGACA
rnacentral:misc_RNA from 1 species